ensembl:lncRNA
GCUAGGUAUCAUUUUUUUGUCUUCAAUCCCAGUGCUAGGUAUCAUUUUUCUGUCUUCAAUCCCAGUGCUAGGUAUCAUUUUUCUGUCUUCAAUCCCAGUGCUAGGUAUCAGUUUUCUGUCUUCAAUCCCAGUGCUAGGCACUCGUUUUUUUUCUGGUUUUUUUCUUCUGUUUUUGUUUUUUUUCUCUUCCCUAUGCCACAUGUGCUCCCUCUCCGGCCCCUAGAUCACCAGGCUGCUCAUUAUGGCGCACACCUGUCACCAUCGUUACACGCAUCAGACUCACCUGGACUCCAUCACUUCCCUGAUUACCUUCCCUAUAUAUGUCACUCCCUUUGGUUCCUUCCCCAGGCGUUAUUGUUUCUGUUUCAUGUCUGUGCGUUGUUCGUGUUUCUUGUUUUGUGUUAUGUUUCGUUUAGUUAUUUAAACACUCACUGUAUUGUGUGUGUAUUGUUUUUUUUGUGUCAGGUGGAAUGACGUUGGGUUUGGGAGUUGCUACAGGCUUUCAUGUCUCAGCCAGAUCACCAGGCCCCUUUGCCUCUGCCGGCUCAUCAGGCUCUCAAGCCUCAGCCGGAUCGCCAGGCUCCCCUGCCUCAGCCAGCUCGUCGGGCUUUCAUGCCUUCGUCGGUUCGCUAGGCUCCCCUGUGUCCACCGGCUCGUCAGGCUUCAACCGAUCUUUCAGGUUCCCGUGUCCCAGCCGGCGACAGGUUCCGAUGCAUCAGCAGGGGUGACCGGUCCACUCCUGAUCCCCGGGAUCGUCCCUUGGGUUGUCGGCCUGCGGCUGGAGCCUAACGCGCCGGCAAGGGGUACUGUCAGGUAUGCUCUCUCUCUGGCGCUCUAGGUCGCCAUGCUCCUGCGUCUCAGCCGGAUUGACAGGUUUCCCGCGCCUCUGCUCCUGAUCCCCGGGAUUGUCAUUUUGGUUGGCGUCCUGCAGCUGGAGCCGUGCGCCAGGGAGGGGAUACUCUAGGUCACCAGGCCGUCACCAUCGUUAUGUGCACCUGC